rnacentral:miRNA from 1 species
UCUAAACUGGUCACUUCCACUC